GACGAACGCUGGCGGCGUGCUUAACACAUGCAAGUCGAACGAAGUGGCGAACGGGUGAGUAACGCGUAAUCAACCUGCCCUUGAGAGGGGGACAACAGUGGGAAACGACUGCUAAUACCGCAUAGUGAAUGAGGGGAUUGCGUUGGAUUAGCUAGGUGGAGGGGUAACGGCCCACCAAGGCGAUGAUCAGUAGCCGGUCUGAGAGGAUGACCGGCCACAUUGGGACUGAGACACGGCCCAAACUCCUACGGGAGGCAGCAGUAGGGAAUCUUCCGCAAUGGGCGCAAGCCUGACGGAGCAAUGCCGCGUGAGUGAAGAAGGUUGUCGGAUCGUAAAGCUCGUUUGUAAGAGAAGCGGUAUCUUACCAGAAAGCCACGGCUAACUCCGUGCCAGCAGCCGCGGUAAUAC
rnacentral:rRNA from 1 species